rnacentral:rRNA from 1 species
CGUACACUCCUGCGGGAGGCAGCAGUGGGGAAUAUUGCACAAUGGGCGCAAGCCUGAUGCAGCGACGCCGCGUGGGGGAUGAAGGCCUUCGGGUUGUAAACUCCUUUCGCUAGGGACGAAGCUUUUUUGUGACGGUACCUAGAUAAGAAGCACCGGCUAACUACGUGCCAGCAGCCGCGGUAAUACGUAGGGUGCGAGCGUUGUCCGGAAUUACUGGGCGUAAAGGGCUCGUAGGUGGUUUGUCGCGUCGUCUGUGAAAUUCUGGGGCUUAACUCCGGGCGUGCAGGCGAUACGGGCAUAACUUGAGUGCUGUAGGGGUAACUGGAAUUCCUGGUGUAGCGGUGAAAUGCGCAGAUAUCAGGAGGAACACCGAUGGCGAAGGCAGGUUACUGGGCAGUUACUGACGCUGAGGAGCGAAAGCAUGGGUAGCGAACAGGAUUAGAUACCCGUGUAGUCCCAUGAU